ACAGCCAACCACAUCAUAAAUCUAUGCUUAGGUAGGGUCAUAGAAGUCCAUACUAAGUCAACAGUUCUCAUUUGAGGUCUUUGGCCUAUAAUUGUUAAGUAGCUUCGGGUAAUGUAAUAAAUUUCAUUCUGUGUCAGCAUGUAUCUACCUUGGCUAUACCAGCCUUGCAAUUGUGCCUUAAUUUCAUUGAGUUUCUUCCAAUACUAGCUGCAAUCUAUAGGGGCUCUAUGAUUCUAUUGAGGGAUCCUCUUUCAUAGAUACUCUAUGAACCAUUUAACACAUGAUGAAUCUUUAUUCACUAUGAUUUGCCAUAAUAAUCACCCCCACUAAGGCUAUAUUCCAGUUGUUGUUGCCCUUGAUAUUCAAUCCAUUUGGCUUUAAGGAUAGCAAAUUUCAUUCCAAGAGACCAAAUCUACCUUUUUCUUUUCUCAAGUAUUUCCCCACAGAAAAGGCUUGCAUAUCUUAUCUAUUUCCUUGAGUAUGCUUUGAGGUAGAAUAAACACAUCCCCCAGAAGCUAUGUAUGGAAAACAAAUACAACAUUUAUCAAUCCACUAUCGUAGGAGAGUUGUUUAGAGUAGGUCACUUUAAUUCUUUGAGUAAUCUUGUCAAUCAGGGAACAACAGUUAAUUUUCUAACAUUUUUUUGGUGAUAGCGGAAGGCCAAGGUACUUAAUAGAAUUCACCAACUGAGAAUCCAGUUCUUUCUAGAACUUUAUUUCUUGUGUCCUCAUCCACCCCAACUAGGAAUACACUUGAUUUUUCCAUGUUAGCAUCCAACCUAGUGGCAACACUAAAGUGUGUUAGUGCCUCCAUUACUCUAUUUACUGAAGCCACAUUUCCCUUGCAGAAUAUCAUCAGAUCAUCAGCAAAUAUUAGAUACUCCAUCACUAAUACAAAUAGAAAAGGAGAGGUGGGAUCUCCUUGCCUAAGGCCUCUGUUCCCCGCAAAGAAUCCAUGAUUCUCCACAGUAGUGGACAUACACAACAUAAUCUACUUGAUGAAUUUUAUAGGAAAUCCAAAUCCAGCAAAGUACUUCCUCUAGAAAAUCUCAACAUACCAUGUCAUAUGCUUUCUUUAGGUCUACUUUCAUGAGACAUCUAGGAGAAACAUUCUUCCUGUAGUGUCUUAAGAGGUCAUGACAGAUCAAAACAUUAUGCAUCAUUGAUCUCUUCUGUACGAAAGUUGAUUGAUUUUCUGCUACUAUAUAACUCACUGCUUUCUUCAAUCUACUACAAAUUAGUUUAGAUAUGCACUUA